UACAGAGGGGGCAAGCGUUGUUCGGAAUUACUGGGCGUAAAGGGCGCGUAGGCGGCCCGCUAAGUCGAACGUGAAAUCCCCAGGCUCAACCUGGGAACUGCGUCCGAUACUGGCAGGCUUGAAUCCGGGAGAGGGAUGUGGAAUUCCAGGUGUAGCGGUGAAAUGCGUAGAUAUCUGGAGGAACACCGGUGGCGAAGGCGGCAUCCUGGACCGGUAUUGACGCUGAGGCGGCGAAAGCUAGGGGAGCAAACGGG
rnacentral:rRNA from 1 species